UAGUCAGCUUGGUCCCCAACAGCACAUUAACUUUAUACUGUUUAUUCCACAGAUAUAUUUGUUCCACCAACUCCAGUCUCACAACUGUCUGCAAAUGUUUUAGCAGUUUGUACUCAGAAAAGUGGAUGUCGAAAAAUAUCUAAUAAGCUUCAAUAGCUUCCUCCAUUUUGGACUCCUUCACAGAGCUUGCUUCACAACACUGAGAGCCAAGGCCAUUCCUCCUGCCACAGGAGCCUUUCUUUGUCCAGGUCUUCCUGGACCUGGGUCAUCUUUUCCAUCAGGCUGAUGGUUUCCUGUUUUUUCUCAGCCAGGAGAUGGGUCCAGUCUUUCUCCCACUGGUAUCUGGACUUCCCAGGUUGAGUUCAGCCUGGACCAGAGCAUUUUCAAGUUUGGACAUUUCCUCAUCCCUUCUGGCAAGCUGGUACAGUCAAAGAAAUAACCUCAGUCUACUGCAGGAAAAGUCCAACCUGGUACUUGCAAGGUGUACCUAAUAAAGUGGCUGCAGCAGAGAGCAGCUGUAUUCACUGACAAACCUCUGAUUAACCCACUGCAUCCCACCUAUCCAACACCACAGUUGAUGGGAAAAAAAAGGCUAAGCCAUCCAGCUGAGGGGGUCUGCUGAUAAUUUUCCCUAAGAGAACUACUACGUAGGAAACCUUUUGCAUUCACUGUGGUCUAAAAAGGUAUUUCAGAACAAAAGUCAAUAGAGUGUCAGUAGCAGCAGAACAAUUGGAGAUGGAAAGACCACAUGAAAUGUUGUAUGCACACUGUAAGACGUGAAUUAUAAAUGAAAAACAACAUGUAUGUAUACUGUGAAAGUGAGGAAUAUAGCACAAAGAAAAAGUGGCAAGAUCACAUCAUUCUGUACAUAGUGUGCAUGCUGUUCUUGACAUUCAUAAUUCAUAACCAUGUGGUCUUAUGUGGCUCAAAAAGGACAGAGUGGCUGUCAUCCUGCCUGUGUGUGUUAUGAGUGAGUGAGUGUGUUGGGGUGGGUGGGGGCAGAGACUUAGAUUCCCACUGGAACCUCCUACACUAUAAAUAUAAGCACUCAUAGUGGUGAGAGGCAGUGUGUAUACAGUUAAAGGGUCUACCAAAUGGCAUACAGCAUGUUACAGUACUACAAAUGUAUAUAACUGUACAUUCACAUAUCCAUCCCUACUGACACUUUCUCCUGAUGACCUGCAGAACAGUGGUACUAACUGAUAUAUUCAUCCUCCGACUGGGGUUGUGAUUAUUUUUCAGUACAUCCAAGGCCAGUACAGUAAACUUAGACUCCCCCAGCACUUUAUUAGGAACACUGUACUAAUUGGAGGCUGAGGUGGUAAAUUAGUAUUUGUGAAGAGUGAUGUGAGAGUAGCUUUGACAAUGUAGCAAAGCAAAAACGUUGCAGAUGCUGGAUGGGAAGAGCAGCAGAGAAAAAAAAAAUAAUAAUGGUAGAAACACACCAAAAUACAAAAUACUGUAUGACAGAAAAGAUCUUCCUCAAUGAACCUCUGCCAGCAAGUCAAAGGUAUUACUGGUGACAUCAUGUCUCCUAGCAGCAUGAACAUACACAUAAAGUUAUGUAAUAAACACACAGAAUUAACAGACACGGUCAAGUACAUAAUCACAAUUUACACUUUAGUUCAUACUGUGAUUCUAAGUCACACAUUGCUUUUUGCACAUUUGCAUUUGUACUUUUUUGGUCAUUUUAUUACACUGACUGCAAAAAUGUUUAUGCUACAAGAUAAGUGUACAGAGCCAUGACAGCAGACGACAGCCUUUCCCUCCAAAGCAUGCAGUGCACUGCACCUGCUUUAGUUAUCAGUGUUAAAUUGAUUAUUAGCCAACAACUGAUUACAUCAAUUUAAGAUAUCAUUUAUUAAUUAGUCAUUAAUCAUGAGGAAGUAAAUCAAGAGAUAACCUGGUCUGCAAACUGGUCCACACUGCUUCACCUGUGUGUCUACCUGAUGGAAAUGCUGCAGGUUUUUAACAUGAUCUCCUUCACUUGAUGCUGAAGCUGUGGUCCACACACCGGGCUCUCCUUCAUCUAGGCUACUUGCUCUACAGGAUAAGGUGAAGGAGAGCUGUCACUAUAUUCACUCUGCCUGUGAUUCUGUGAUUCAUUGCCAAAUAAAUAUAAUCUCUUUGAGUAUCUAUCUAUCUAUCUAUUUAUCCUUUAAUUAGAAUUUAAGUAGCAUUUAACCAGUUGUGCAUGUGCUUUGUAGUGGCUUUAUAUCUCUGAUACUGCCUCAAAUCUUUAAUAGAGCAUGAAAUAAAGCAACAUGUAUGAAGCAUAUAUUAUCAGAAUGUGGCCCCUGAAGAUGUUCCAGCUAUUGGAGAAUCUGGAACAAACAGACUGAUAGGAGGCAGAAGUCUGCCAUCUAGUGAUCUAUGCUGAAAUGGCUUGUAAACUGCACUGUGUUCGAAUCUGUUUAAAUUGCAUUAAACCGACGUGUCAGAUAUUUCCAAUAUUCUCACAUUAAUGCAACAAUGCACAGUUGCCAUGAGGGAAUGUUCUUUAGGAAGUACUCUUGGCAAGACAGCUAGUGUUAUUUUAUACUAUAAAAACAAGUGUACAAGGGUGGGGACGAAAUUCAAUGACUAACCUUUGCUAUUACAUGUACUGCAUGUGUUAAAGACACAGCAAGUUUACAUCAUGUCUGUUUUCUUCAAACUACAAACCAUGCAUGUCAGGAAGUUUUAAAUAUAUUAGUUUGUUUCUCUAAAAACUGUUUUAUGAACUCUGCAUUUCUGUCAUUCUGCUCAUUAUUUCAAGUCAAAACACCUCAAGUUAGAACGACUCAUGUAAAAAAUUCUGAAGUGGUAUGAAAGUAAAAACUAGAACUUUCACGUUGAAUUCACCAGUGAGGAAAUAUUAGAUGGUUAACUUAAUUCCUGUAGGAUGUUUUGCAGUGUGGGGCUAGAUAGUUUGUGACUAUUACCGACCUAUCAUGGAAAAAGUAAUAAUACUGAAUGAUGUAGUUUGACAGUGCUAAAAUGAUGAUGGUACUGACCCCACAUUAGUGGUACCUUGGUAAGAACUAUGGCACCGCUGAUUUGUUAAUGUUAGUACUUUUCUACCGUCCCAACUGGCUCUCUCAUUCAUGGUAUUAUAUUGUUGUACACCAAGUUAUUGCACUCUUGCAAGUUAACAUAGCACUGUUAUCAUAGCACUGUAUUGUUACUCUCCAAUUCCCAUAACACUUCUUUCUAACACUUCCUUCUAAAUUCAAUUAAUAAUUUAUU